rnacentral:rRNA from 1 species
AUUGAACGCUGGCGGCAUGCUUUACACAUGCAAGUCGAACGGCAGCGCGGGCUUCGGCCUGGCGGCGAGUGGCGAACGGGUGAGUAAUGCAUCGGAACGUGCCCAGUAGUGGGGGAUAGCCCGGCGAAAGCCGGAUUAAUACCGCAUACGACCUGAGGGUGAAAGCGGGGGACCGAAAGGCCUCGCGCUAUUGGAGCGGCCGAUGUCGGAUUAGCUAGUUGGUGGGGUAAAGGCUUACCAAGGCGACGAUCCGUAGCUGGUCUGAGAGGACGACCAGCCACAAUGGGAAUGAGAAACCGCCCAGACUUCUAAGGGGAGGAGGAGUGGGGAAUUUUGGAACAUUGGGGGCAACCUGAUCCCGGCCAGGCGGGGGGGGGAAGAAGGCCUUCCGGGUUGAAAACCGUUUUGUUUGGGAAGAAAACCUCUGGGCUUAAAACCCGGGGGGAUGACGGUACCGGAAGAAUAAGCACCGGCUAACUACGUG